ensembl:lncRNA
UCGGAGAUGGAACAGGAACGCUUCCGAGCUGAUCUGAGCAGAUGUGUGAAUAUGCAGAUGGCCUUCAAAGUUCAGCUCAGAGUUUUUGUCAGUAAAGGUAAUCAAAGGGGCGUAUAAAAGAAUCUAAAAGGUUAUUACCAACUAAAUGUUAAGACUGUAGUUUAGCUUUGAAUUCGUUUUUUGAAAUGUAAUCAAAUUAGACACAGAGUGUACAUAUAUAGGUCAAAGUCUAUAUAAAACAAUCAGUCAAGUAUCAAAUCAUUUGAGUACUUGAAUGAAUAGUCACUUGUUUGUAACUUGAAUUCGAUGCACGAGUGCCAGAUGUUAUUUGUAAAUAGCUGGUGGGUAUAUUAACAGCUCAAUCGCUGUGUUUCUGCAGAGAUGCGCAUAUCUGGUUGCUAUGGCUCCUUCAUCGCCGGUCCUCACUCCUGCUGUGUUGCCAUGGCAGCGCUUGAUUGGCGCACAGCUCUGGCAUUUGAGUUCACUCACAACAAGUCUUUGGAUGAAACGAGGGGUGUAGCCAUACAGUUUGUGCUGUCAUACAGUAGCUCCUCCGGAGAGAACAGGACACGGAUACACACUGUUAUUCUGUCCGCUUCCCGGCAUCCGCUAGACACCUUUAGAAGCAGCCAGGCCGAGACGCUCCUCACAUUCUACUGCAAGAAAUGUAUUCAAAAAUAUGAAUCAAAUACCAAUAUGAAAUCAAAUUUGACCUUAUUUAUUUCUUUAUAUAAAAUAUGUAAUAUAUUCACUACUGUUUAAAAGUUCCGGGUCAUUUUUUAGAGAAAUAUUACUUUUAUUCAGUAAGGAUGCACUGACUUGUUUAAAAGUUUCUAUAAAAAUAUUAAGCAACACUGAUAUUGCAACACUGAUAUUGAUUAAAAAAAAUGUUGAGCACCAAAUCAGGAUAUCAGAAUGAUUUCUGAAGGAUCAUGUGACACUGAAAAUUCAGCUUUGCCAUCAUAGGAAUAAAUUGCAUUUUAAAAUAUAUUAAUAUGCA